rnacentral:ncRNA from 1 species
GCACUCUGGAGAGUGGGCGCUGGCUUCGACCGGCGCCCCACCGAAGGGGUAAGCCGGCCGGUGCCGACGGCGCUGGUCUGGUGAAUCUCUCAGGUCCCGGACAGAGGGGG